rnacentral:lncRNA from 10 species
CGGCGCCGCUCAGGGCUGGACCCCCGACCCCGGCCGGCCCCCGCCCGGCUCCAGUCCCCGCCACCCGUGCUAGGCACCCUGUGCGGUCGGGCAGGCAGCCGCUGCCAGCGACCUGGGCCUCUUGUCCUCUGACGCGCCUCGGGGCAGGGGCAGGGGCCGAGGCCGCCCACUAGAGGAACAGGAUCUGCCUACGCAGCUGUCUCGCCCGGCAAAGAGCGCCCAGGACCCGGGACUGCGUCCUCUUCACUGAGACCUGGCGCAUAGGGGGCCUAGUCGAGGCUGUUAAGUGAAAGCAAGCAGGGGUGGCGUGGGCCUGGCGCUCAGGUGCGCCCUAAAUGUUUGGUCAUAGCUGGCUACAAGGACAUUCGCGCAGGCUUGGAGGUGCGGGGCAGCCUGACGUGUUGCCUCUGGGGUAACCGAGGGACGCGCGGCAAACAGAGAUGGAGGACUGGCAACGGGUGCCUCGAAGAGGUAGACUGGGAGAUCUCUCAGGGUUACUGGGGAAACGAUGACUGUGCAGGGUGAGAACUCAGUGAGUCUGGCAGAAGGCUGGGAGGGUGACCGGCAGGACCUUCCAAGAACCCGGCGUACCUGGAAACUGGGUCCGCAGCAUUAGGGCGGCAGCAAGGUCAGGGUGUGGGAACACGGAGAUGAGGCCCUGGUGACUAGGAGUGAGCACACACUGCUAACCAUGGAGAAAUUCCUUCUCCAGGAAGGAGAUGCAAAUGUGCAAGAUGGCUGGAACUAACAUGCAGCCGGAGCCUGCUGUGCACCAGGCACAGAACUGAGUUGAAGAGCUUGUCUAAAGAGUAUGUUAGCCAAUGAAGCAAUGGAGUUAAUAAAGGGUGAUGAUUUCAAAUGUUUGGCAGUGAGAGAGAGAAAAGUAGGCCUGGAGCUCAAGAAGUACCAAGAGUAAAGGAGAAAGUUGGGUCCUACUGUGGAAGCUGAGGCAAAAGCAUCCCUUAAGCCGAGAAGUUUGAGUUCAGCCUGGGCAACAUAGCGAGACCCUCCCUCUCUGCAAAAGAGUAAAGGGAAAAGUUGAUUGUUUUUUGUUUUUUUUUUUUGUCUUUGGAGACGGAGUUUCGGUCUCGCAGCCCAGGCUGUAGUGCAAUUGCGUGGUCUCGGCUCACUGCAACCUCUACCUCCAGAGUUCCAGUGAUAAUCCAGCCUCAGCCUUCAAAGUAG